UACCCGGUGGUGUAAUUGGUAACACUAGAGAUUUUGGUUCUCUUAUUGGAGGUUCGAGUCCUCCCCGGGUAGCCA
rnacentral:tRNA from 1 species